rnacentral:rRNA from 1 species
AGUGAACGCUGGCGGUAGGCCUAACACAUGCAAGUCGAACGGCAGCACAGUAAGAGCUUGCUCUUACGGGUGGCGAGUGGCGGACGGGUGAGGAAUACAUCGGAAUCUACUUUUUCGUGGGGGAUAACGUAGGGAAACUUACGCUAAUACCGCAUACGACCUACGGGUGAAAGCAGGGGAUCUUCGGACCUUGCGCGAUUGAAUGAGCCGAUGUCGGAUUAGCUAGUUGGCGGGGUAAAGGCCCACCAAGGCGACGAUCCGUAGCUGGUCUGAGAGGAUGAUCAGCCACACUGGAACUGAGACACGGUCCAGACUCCUACGGGAGGCAGCAGUGGGGAAUAUUGGGCAAUGGGCGCAAGCCUGAUCCAGCCAUACCGCGUGGGUGAAGAAGGCCUUCGGGUUGUGAAGCCCUUUUGUUGGGAAAGAAAAGCAGCAGGUUAAUACCCCGCUGUUCUGACGGUACCCAAAGAAUAAGCACCGGCUAACUUCGUG